rnacentral:rRNA from 1 species
CCGGUCUUACGGGGCGCAGCAGUGGGGAAUAUUGCACAAUGGGGGAAACCCUGAUGCAGCAACGCCGCGUGAGUGAAGAAGUAUUUCGGUAUGUAAAGCUCUAUCAGCAGGAAAGAAAAUGACGGUACCUGACUAAGAAGCCCCGGCUAACUACGUGCCAGCAGCCGCGGUAAUACGUAGGGGGCAAGCGUUAUCCGGAUUUACUGGGUGUAAAGGGAGCGUAGACGGCAGCGCAAGUCUGGAGUGAAAUGCCGGGGCCCAACCCCGGAACUGCUCUGGAAACUGUGAAGCUGGAGUGCAGGAGG